GGUAUCUAACUAAGUACAGAAUGGGUUGUAAACCACAGGCUUAGGUUAGUACAGGCAAAAUAUCAUUUUAAUAUACCUGACGUGACUGUAGUUUCUCUACACUGUGUCAACGUAGGGGUUACGUUCAUAAUACCUGCUUAAAUGUAAUUUAUGGCACUUGUGAAGCAUUGUCGAGUGAAGGAGUUUUAAAUAUUUAUGUGCUUAUUAUCUUCUGUGAAGCAUCUCAUCUCAAGAGUGCUUACGAGCUCUUCUUUUUGAGUUUUAGUAGUGCCAAUAUGGGAUUAUAUCCUUAUUUAUACAUGACAACCUUUUCAACGGGCAAAGAUUAACGUGCUAUGUUUUUUACAGCACAAUUCGUCAAGUUCACGAUAUAGUUUUAUAGAAGUGCUUGAUUAUAGUUGUAAGGUUGAUGAGUGUACUUAUCUGUGUUUGUGCCUACAUUCCCUUUUAUUGCAGCCCUAAAUCCUUAAAUAGAUGAAUUGAUUUGAUAGUACGAGUAGCUAUUUCGUUGUUUGAAAGAUUAUUUGACCACGUAAUUGUAUAAAACGGCGAUAUCGGUUUUAUCA